UACGGGGGGGCAAGGCGUUGUUCGGAAUUACUGGGCGUAAAGGGCUCGUAGGUGGCCAACUAAGUCAGACGUGAAAUCCCUCGGCUUAACCGGGGAACUGCGUCUGAUACUGGAUGGCUUGAGUUUGGGAGAGGGACGCGGAAUUCCAGGUGUAGCGGUGAAAUGCGUAGAUAUCUGGAGGAACACCGGUGGCGAAGGCGGCGUCCUGGCCAACA
rnacentral:rRNA from 1 species